rnacentral:tRNA from 1 species
UAGCUCAGUUGGCAGAGCGCAAGGCUCUUAACCUUAAGGUCGUGGGUUCGAGCCCCAC